GAUGAAGAACGCAGCGAAAUGCGAUAAGUAAUGUGAAUUGCAGAAUUUCGUGAAUCAUCGAAUCUUUGAACGCACAUUGCGCCCCCUGGUAUUCCGGGGGGCAUGCCUGUCCGAGCGUCAUUGCAACCUUCAAGCGCGGCUUGUGUGUUGGGUCUCGUCCCCCGUGGACGGGCCCGAAAGGCAGUGGCGGCGUCCCGACAUGGUGCCCGAGCGUAUGGGAAUCCUCUUCCGCUCGAAUCGGCCCAUGCGGCGCUGGUCGUAACCAAAUUUUUUACCGGUUGACCUCGGAUCAGGUAGGGAUACCCGCUGAACUUAAGCAUAUCAAUAAGCGGAGGA
rnacentral:misc_RNA from 1 species